ensembl:rRNA 5S_rRNA 5S ribosomal RNA
GUUAUCUAUGAUCCACUCAAAAAGCAGCCAAUCUCCUGAUCUUGAAAGCUAAACAGGGCAGGAACUCCUAAGUACCUGGAUGGGAGAUACAGUAAGUUAUUAAAUGACU